GUUAGGGGUGCCUGAGGGGGCUACAGGGGCCUGGCUGAUGGCAUGAGAGGGCUGCAGGGGUCCACGGGGUCUAUAGGGGUCUGGGUGGUGGCCUGUGCGGGUGGCGGGGCCAUGUCAGGGCUACAGGGGUCUGUCUGAGGGAGUGGGGAGCUGAGGGGGCUAUGGGAGCCUGGCUGGGGGUCUGUGUGGGCUAUGGGAGCCUGGCUGGGGGUCUGUGGGUGCUAUGGGAGCCUGGCUGGAGGUUUGGGGCACCUGUGGGUGCUAUAGGGGCCUGUCUGGGGGUGUGGCGUGCUGUAGGGGUUUGUGCUGGGGGAUGUAUUGGUGCUGUAGGGGUCUGGGUGAGGGUUAGAGGUGCCUGAGGGGGCUACAGGGGCUUGGCUGAUGGCAUGAGAGGGCUGCAGGGGUCCACAGGAUCUAUAGGGGUCUGGGUGGUGGCCUGUGAGGGUGGCGGGGCCAUGUCAGGGCUACAGGGGUCUGUCUGAGGGCGUGGGGAGCUGAGUGGGCUAUGGGAGCCUGGCUGGGGGUCUGUGUGGGCUAUGGGAGCCUGGCUGGGGGUCUGUGGGGGCUAUGGGAGCCUGGCUGGAGGUUUGGGCACCUGUGGGUGCUAUAGGGGCCUGUCUGGGGGUGCGAGGUGCUGUAGAGGUUUGUGCUGGGGGAUGUACGGGUGCUGUAGGGGCCUGGGUGCUGUGAGUCUACGGCAUGACAGCUGCAUGGCUGCCUCAUGCGCUGCCUGGGAUGUCGGGCUCCCCUUUGCUCUGCUGGUCCCAGCUGUGCUGGCUGCUGGUCCCAGUAGCAGCCGUGUGGCUGGGGGGGGGGCCUGGGCUGUGCCCCAUGAGUGACCAAGAGCCCAGGCACGGCUCGGCUGCGGUGUGGGGUGCCAGGGUCCCCACCCCAUCUUUGGGGUGCUGGGGGGCAGGUGGACCAGCUUGUGCUGCUUGGGAAUUCCCGAGCUCUCACCUGCUUCCUGGCUGCUGGGGCUAAAUCUCAAAUAAUCCAGAAUCAUCUUUGUCAGGGCAUCCCAAUGUCAGGUACAGCCGCCUGGGCUGUUUGUGUGCCAGGACGUAAUGGAUGGGGCUGGUAGUGGGAGAAAUGAGCUGGAGGGGGUGGGGGAGAGAUGGCCGGGCUCCCCAGAUGCAGCUGCUGCCAGCAAAGCGCACUAUGAAAAUUAAAUUGGCCUGCAGAGUGCCGGAAGGGUGAGCUGGCAGAAAUGCCGGGAUGCGUCUGAUCUCACCGGGCUUAAUCAGCCCGAGACCUGGGAUGAGGCUGGUCCGUUGGCCAGGCGCCGGCUGGCCACAGCCGAGCAGAGUCAGGAGGAGGAAGAUCUCGUCAUCCCCUCAGGAAUGAAGAUCGCUGCCCAGUUGCGGACCUUUGCUGGUGACGGCUGACGGGCGCCUGUGGGAGUUCACACCUCUCCCAGGCGCUGGCUCCGGCUCUUGGCACGCGCCGGGGAUGUGCCUCGGCUUCCCUCGCUGAUGCUGCCUGGAACAGCAGCGAACCGCCUUCGCGUCUGCCCCGAGAGGCACGACCGGCCCAGGCUGCGGGCACAGGAGCUGCUCCCGUGUGUGGCUCCGCUGCCUCCCCCGUCCUCCCUCCUCUCCUGCCGUCGCAGGAUGUUCCGUGGGGAGCACCUGGAUUCAGUUCAGCCCUUCACAGAGUUACAGGUGCUGGCGAGGUGCUUUGGCCGCUCUGGGGGAGCCCUCGGGAGCGUUUCCCUCCCUCCAUCCGUGUGGAAGUGAGCGGUGGGUCCCAUCCUCGCCCUGCCCAAGCUCCACUCCCGGCCCUCGCCGCUCCCUGACUCCAGCUGUUUCGACGCCCAGGGCAGCGCUUCCCGGCUCUCCCACUCUCCUGCUCCUGACCCUGCAAAAGCCUUGGCGAGAAUCCUGGAGCAGAUCCUGCCCUGGCUGUGGAAGCGGGAUGAAGACGUCCCUGUGUUGCCCCUGGGUUCCGCUGUCCUUGGGUGGGUUGGGGAGCUCAGCCCUGCUGCUCCCCCCCUCCCCGUGCGCUCCUCCCCCAUCUCGGCUGCACGAUGCGGAGGCUGCUGGGGUGAGACUGCGGCUUCUGGGAGCUCAGGGUUCAAAUCCAAACCAGGGCUUGGAGCAAAGGGAAUCCUCCCAACAAGGAGUUUUCUUCUCCUGACAGGCGAGUUGCUGCCUGACCCCCCCCCCUUUCCCUCGCUCACCCCCCAGCCAUGAAAACCCUCGUGCUUCAUGUCUGAGCCACUGGGAAUGGCGUCCUGCCGUGAGCUGGGCCGGGGGGGGGGAGCGCUCCCCUUGGUAAACCCUGCCUCAUUUGGAAGUUGGCCCUUGCACUGAAAAUAAAAUUCUGUUGAGAUGGCA